rnacentral:rRNA from 1 species
AUUGAACGCUGGCAGCAGGCCUAACACAUGCAAGUCGAGCGGGGUUUUCGGACCUAGCGGCGGACGGGUGAGUAAUGCGUAGGAAGCUACCCGAUAGAGGGGGAUACCAGUUGGAAACGACUGUUAAUACCGCAUAAUGUCUACGGACCAAAGUGUGGGACCUUCGGGCCACAUGCUAUCGGAUGCGCCUACGUGGGAUUAGCUAGUUGGUGGGGUAAUGGCUCACCAAGGCGACGAUCCCUAGCUGGUUUGAGAGGAUGAUCAGCCACACUGGAACUGAGACACGGUCCAGACUCCUACGGGAGGCAGCAGUGGGGAAUAUUGGACAAUGGGCGCAAGCCUGAUCCAGCCAUGCCGCGUGUGUGAAGAAGGCCUUCGGGUUGUAAAGCACUUUCAGCGAGGAGGAAGGGGUGUGUGUUAAUAGUACACACCUUUGACGUUACUCGCAGAAGAAGCACCGGCUAACUCUGUGCCAGCAGCCGCAGUAACAC